GGGCAGUGGUCGGAAGGCCGCGCGGUGCACCGGCGCGGGGCGUGUUGCGGGCAAAGGUUGGGCCGUUGGGGAUAUGCCGUGCAGGGGAGGGAUAGCGCACACACGCGGUUGGCCAACUGCUGCGCCCCGUGCUGUUGCUUUGCUACCGACAAUUGGCGGCGCGGUGCCACGGCAGGCAGAUUGCACCGCGUGGCGCCAGCGAGUGCGCCGUGGUCACGGUGACCGCGUCCAGGCACAUCGCGUGUGUGCCGGAGUUCAAGGAAAGUUUUCUUUCAAUUUUUGAACUGAGUGCGUGAAACUCCAAAUAUAAAAGUUUGAGAUCAAACUGUAGGCUACAACUUCUGUGAAAGCCAAUAGGUGAAAAACUUGACGGAUUUAGA
rnacentral:lncRNA from 1 species